rnacentral:rRNA from 1 species
GGAUAACCUACCCUUAGGACUGGGAUAACCCUGGGAAACUGGGGAUAAUACCGGAUAGGCAAUUCUUCCUGUAAUGGUUUUUUGUUUAAAUGUUUUUUCGCCUAAGGAUGGGUCUGCGGCCGAUUAGGUAGUUGGUUAGGUAAUGGCUUACCAAGCCGUUGAUCGGUACGGGUUGUGAGAGCAAGAGCCCGGAGAUGGAACCUGAGACAAGGUUCCAGGCCCUACGGGGUGCAGCAGGCGCGAAACCUCCGCAAUGUGAGAAAUCGCGACGGGGGGAUCCCAAGUGCCAUUCUUAACGGGAUGGCUUUUCAUUAGUGUGAAGAGCUUUUGGAAUAAGAGCUGGGCAAGACCGGUGCCAGCCGCCGCGGUAACACCGGCAGCUCUAGUGGUAGCAAUUUUUAUUGGGCCUAAAGCGUCCGUAGCCGGUUUAAUAAGUCUCUGGUGAAAUCCUGUAGCCUAACUGUGGGAAUUGCUGGAGAUACUAUUAGACUUGAGACCGGGAGAGGUUAGAGGUACUCCCAGGGUAGAGGUGAAAUUCUGUAAUCCUGGGAGGACCGCCUGUUGCGAAGGCGUCUAACUGGAGCGGUUCUGACGGUGAGGGACGAAAGUUAGGGGCGCGAACCGGAUUAGAUACCCGGGUAGUCCUAACUGUAAACGAUGCGGACUUGGUGUUGGGGUGGCUUUGAGCUGCUUCAGUGCCGAAGGGAAGCUGUUAAGUCCGCCGCCUGGGAAG